ACAUGCAAGUCGAGCGGUAGCACAGAGAGCUUGCUCUCGGGUGACGAGCGGCGGACGGGUGAGUAAUGUCUGGGAAACUGCCUGAUGGAGGGGGAUAACUACUGGAAACGGUAGCUAAUACCGCAUAACGUCGCAAGACCAAAGUGGGGGACCUUCGGGCCUCAUGCCAUCAGAUGUGCCCAGAUGGGAUUAGCUGGUAGGUGGGGUAACGGCUCACCUAGGCGACGAUCCCUAGCUGGUCUGAGAGGAUGACCAGCCACACUGGAACUGAGACACGGUCCAGACUCCUACGGGAGGCAGCAGUGGGGAAUAUUGCACAAUGGGCGCAAGCCUGAUGCAGCCAUGCCGCGUGUGUGAAGAAGGCCUUCGGGUUGUAAAGCACUUUCAGCGGGGAGGAAGGCGGUGAGGUUAAUAACCUCAUCGAUUGACGUUACCCGCAGAAGAAGCACCGGCUAACUCCGUGCCAGCAGCCGCGGUAAUACGGAGGGUGCAAGCGUUAAUCGGAAUUACUGGGCGUAAAGCGCACGCAGGCGGUCUGUCAAGUCGGAUGUGAAAUCCCCGGGCUCAACCUGGGAACUGCAUUCGAAACUGGCAGGCUAGAGUCUUGUAGAGGGGGGUAGAAUUCCAGGUGUAGCGGUGAAAUGCGUAGAGAUCUGGAGGAAUACCGGUGGCGAAGGCGGCCCCCUGGACAAAGACUGACGCUCAGGUGCGAAAGCGUGGGGAGCAAACAGGAUUAGAUACCCUGGUAGUCCACGCUGUAAACGAUGUCGAUUUGGAGGUUGUGCCCUUGAGGCGUGGCUUCCGGAGCUAACGCGUUAAAUCGACCGCCUGGGGAGUACGGCCGCAAGGUUAAAACUCAAAUGAAUUGACGGGGGCCCGCACAAGCGGUGGAGCAUGUGGUUUAAUUCGAUGCAACGCGAAGAACCUUACCUGGUCUUGACAUCCACAGAACUUUCCAGAGAUGGAUUGGUGCCUUCGGGAACUGUGAGACAGGUGCUGCAUGGCUGUCGUCAGCUCGUGUUGUGAAAUGUUGGGUUAAGUCCCGCAACGAGCGCAACCCUUAUCCUUUGUUGCCAGCGGUUAGGCCGGGAACUCAAAGGAGACUGCCAGUGAUAAACUGGAGGAAGGUGGGGAUGACGUCAAGUCAUCAUGGCCCUUACGACCAGGGCUACACACGUGCUACAAUGGCAUAUACAAAGAGAAGCGACCUCGCGAGAGCAAGCGGACCUCAUAAAGUAUGUCGUAGUCCGGAUUGGAGUCUGCAACUCGACUCCAUGAAGUCGGAAUCGCUAGUAAUCGUAGAUCAGAAUGCUACGGUGAAUACGUUCCCGGGCCUUGUACACACCGCCCGUCACACCAUGGGAGUGGGUUGCAAAAGAAGUAGGUAGCUUAACCUUCGGGAGGGCGCUUACCA
rnacentral:rRNA from 1 species